AACUUGGUAAUACCUAUAAAAAUGUAGUUUUGAAUAAUCAACUCACAUCUCUGACCUAAAAAGGAAGUUCUUCAAAACACUAUCAACGCUGUGCUUGUUUUAAUCAUCUUUGAAAAACUAAGAUUUUAAUUCAAAAAUCAAUCGAAUCUGAAUUCGUAUGUAAAUGAUAUUAAUUAAAUAAGAACGUUAAAGGAAAAAAAUAAAUAGUGACAAAAAAGGAAAAAAAAAUUGAUUUGAAGUGACAAAAUUGCCCUUUUAAACCAAAUUUCAGCAUACUUGAGCAUAUAAUUUCUUUAGCACCGUACG
rnacentral:lncRNA from 1 species